AAAAGGGACAGCAGUGUCAUUAGCAGAAAUAAGCAACAGUGGAUGUGGUUGAGCUUGGCCCGUUCUUCUGAAGUCAUGCUGGCACCAGAUGAGCUGCUGCAGACUCAUGAGGAAAGAGUCAAGACAGGCUCUUUGAAACCUCCCUCUCCAGGCAUGCCACGUGAACAGAAGUUCCAGGAGACAGAAGAGAGGGGUGACAAGAAAUUGCCCUGAUCAAACUGCCACAGUGACACACCAUGAAAAACACACAGAGAUUGGCUCUGUGGCAAUGGCAUCAUACCCAGGUCACAGGUGCAAAUUUGGUGCAGCAAAGCAGCAUUAAAUAUUUUGCAUUAAAUUGAUGUUAAUUUGCUUUUGCUGGUUUUAUGGCUUAUUUUUAUAUCUGGAA
rnacentral:lncRNA from 1 species